rnacentral:rRNA from 1 species
CCUACGGGUGGCAGCAGUGAGGAAUAUUGGUCAAUGGACGAGAGUCUGAACCAGCCAAGUAGCGUGAAGGAUGACUGCCCUAUGGGUUGUAAACUUCUUUUAUAAAGGAAUAAAACGAGGCACGUGUGCCUUUUUGCAUGUACUUUAUGAAUAAGGAUCGGCUAACUCCGUGCCAGCAGCCGCGGUAAUACGGAGGAUCCGAGCGUUAUCCGGAUUUAUUGGGUUUAAAGGGAGCGUAGAUGGGUUGUUAAGUCAGUUGCGAAAGUUUGCGGCUCAACCGUAAAAUUGCAAUUGAUACUGGCAGUCUUGAGUACAGUUGAGGUAGGCGGAAUUCGUGGUGUAGCGGUGAAAUGCUUAGAUAUCACGAAGAACCCCGAUUGCGAAGGCAGCUUACUAAACUGUGACUGACAUUGAUGCUCGAAAGUGUGGGUAUCAAACAGGAUUAGAUACCCCAGUAGUC